UGUAUAAUGGGUCAGCGACUUAUAUUCUGUAGCAAGGUUAACCGAAUAGGGGAGCCGAAGGGAAACCGAGUCUUAACUGGGCGUUAAGUUGCAGGGUAUAGACCCGAAACCCGGUGAUCUAGCCAUGGGCAGGUUGAAGGUUGGGUAACACUAACUGGAGGACCGAACCGACUAAUGUUGAAAAAUUAGCGGAUGACUUGUGGCUGGGGGUGAAAGGCCAAUCAAACCGGGAGAUAGCUGGUUCUCCCCGAAAGCUAUUUAGGUAGCGCCUCGUGAAUUCAUCUCCGGGGGUAGAGCACUGUUUCGGCAAGGGGGUCAUCCCGACUUACCAACCCGAUGCAAACUGCGAAUACCGGAGAAUGUUAUCACGGGAGACACACGGCGGGUGCUAACGUCCGUCGUGAAGAGGGAAACAACCCAGACCGCCAGCUAAGGUCCCAAAGUCAUGGUUAAGUGGGAAACGAUGUGGGAAGGCCCAGACAGCCAGGAUGUUGGCUUAGAAGCAGCCAUCAUUUAAAGAAAGCGUAAUAGCUCACUGGUCGAGUCGGCCUGCGCGGAAGAUGUAACGGGGCUAAACCAUGCACCGAAGCUGCGGCAGCGACACUAUGUGUUGUUGGGUAGGGGAGCGUUCUGUAAGCCUGUGAAGGUGGCCUGUGAGGGUUGCUGGAGGUAUCAGAAGUGCGAAUGCUGACAUAAGUAACGAUAAAGCGGGUGAAAAGCCCGCUCGCCGGAAGACCAAGGGUUCCUGUCCAACGUUAAUCGGGGCAGGGUGAGUCGACCCCUAAGGCGAGGCCGAAAGGCGUAGUCGAUGGGAAACAGGUUAAUAUUCCUGUACUUGGUGUUACUGCGAAGGGGGGACGGAGAAGGCUAUGUUGGCCGGGCGACGGUUGUCCCGGUUUAAGCGUGUAGGCUGGUUUUCCAGGCAAAUCCGGAAAAUCAAGGCUGAGGCGUGAUGACGAGGCACUACGGUGCUGAAGCGACAAAUGCCCUGCUUCCAGGAAAAG
rnacentral:rRNA from 1 species